CCUCACUGGAGUAGGUGUGGCCUCACUGGAGUAGGUGUGGCCUCACUGGAGUAGGUGUGGCCUUGUUGGGGGAGGUGUGUCACUAUGGGGGUGGGCUUUGAGAGCUUCCUCCUAGCUGCCUGAGGAAGCCAGUCUUCUUCUAUUUGCCUUCAGAACAAGAUGUAGAACUCUCAGCUCCUCCAGAGCCAUGCCUUCCUGGGCACUGCCGUGCUGCUUCCUUGAUGAUAAUGGACUGAACCUCUGAACCUCAACUUCAGAUGGUGCAUGUGGGAGUGAACAAACUGUCCCCUUGGAGGCCUGCUGAAACAUGUCAUCAUAGAACAGGGCAGCUUGGGGUGCUGUGUGGAAGAUACAUCAGUAGUGACUAGAACAUGGUCGAACGUCACUGAAACUCGAGAAGAGGUCAUUGCUCCCAUUCCUCCAUCAACUACAGCUAUAGGUGAAGUGAUGGCUUCCAACAAGGGAUAUUCAGGGAGGAAGAGAAAGAUAAAAGCCUUGGCCCUGGGGAAAACACUGAGAUUUGAAAAAUUUAUUAGAAAAGGGGGUGAAAUGAGAUGCUUGAAGGAGAAGAAAACAGUGGUAGUAAAUAACACAGCAGGCUUAGAUAUAUGCAGUUGUAUAGUCACUGAACUCACUGUUAAAAUCUAUCCAUGGGCCUGAGUGCCACUGGGCUAAUUCACUAAUUUGGCUCUGAAAGGUUGUGUGUGUGUGUGUGUGUGUGUGUGUGUGUGUGUGUGUCUUAAGUUGGCACUGGGUGCUGCUCCAGUGUGGCAUGCCAGGAAGGGGACCCUACAGGGCAGAACAUCUUAUUCUUACUGCAUGCACUGCUUUAAGCCUUGUCCCUGGCGAUUUGGGGAAAGAGCUGGAAAAAUAAAACAAAAUAAAAUAAAACAACUAGAUAAUUUUAUGGUGAUGCUGCCACAGUGCCACGACUUCUGCCUCACACCUUUCACAGAAAAUGAACCCUUGCUUGUUUUAUUUUUGGAUUAAUUUUUGUCUAAUUACACGUAUGUGUAUUAUGUGCUGAGUGUGUAUGUGCACAUGAGAGCUGUGCUUAUGGGGGCCAGCAGAGGGCGUCAGAUUCCCCUCAAGCUAAAGUUACAGAAGGCUGUAAGCUGCAUGACUUGGAUGCCUGGAACUAAGUUCCGGUUCUCUGCAAGAGUACUUUGUUUUUUUUUUUUUUUGGAGCUGGGGACCGAACCCAGGGCCUUGCACUUCCUAGGCAAGCGCUCUACCACUGAGCUAAAUCCCCAACCCCAGUACUUUGGUUUCUUAACUGCAGAGUCGUCUCUUCAGACCCAUUUGCUGUGUCUGGAUAACCUAAAACACCAAUGUGAAAUAUCCUUUUCUGUCCACCUUCAACAUGAUCCACAUCUGUGUCCAUUUGUGCUUGAGGAUCUCAGGACACUGGAAAAAAUGUAUCUGGCCACUCUCAAGUAUGUAUUUUUCCUUUACUGGGUAAAGUUCUUUUGGCUUCUUUAAGUAUUAAACAUUAAAUCAUCUCAUUAAUAAAAUUUGCAAUGUUAUAGUUAUUUCUCAUUUCAUUUCUAUGACUAUAUACACAUUUCUAGUUCUAAGAUGUAUUACAAAUACAGGAGACAGAGACAUUUUGUACGAGCUUCCCAAAUAUAGAUGGAAGCCAUCCAAAGGUGUCAGCAGCAACAUUUAAAUCUUCGUGCUGCUCUUUUUCCCAAAAUUUGGAUUAAUCAGGGUGCAUUUGAAACCUAUAAUACCACCAGGAUUACACCCUUAGAAUCACAAAAUGCCUAGAGUAUAAACAGGAAAGUCUCUCUCUCUCUCUCUCUCUCUCUCUCUCUCUCUCUCUCUCUCUCUCUCGAUGGCUCUGAAUUUUCUCUGCACACCUGUACUAUCAAGGUAACUUUUGCUAUAAACAGCAUUUUAAAAUUAUCACAUAAAAAACUAUCAAGCACUAAAUUAGAAAAAAACAGAAAUCCGAAAGUGAUAGUGAAAUUUAUGAAGCAAUUCUGCUACACUCAAAGGCUCAUUGCUUGGCAUGUAAAAAAUUUUUGAGCUGCCUGCAAGACCUGGGUAAGAAUUUCUCUUUCAGUGGGGAAACUUCGAGCCACAACAGGCUCCAAAUGAGAGCUGAGCGCAGAACGCAUGUGCUGCACAGGAGCGCUUGUUUGCAUGACUAAUAGAGAUAAUAUUAAAAGUGUUCUCUCAUCAUUUCAAUUUUUUCAUUAAUUUUUUUUUUAAAAAUUUGGCUGAGUGCCUUUUUUUUUUCCUACCUCCCAGAGCUGUUAAUUCCGUUCACUGCCGAGCACAAGUGAAAGUCACAGUCAAACAGCUUGUAAUGAGUUUUCAAUGGCCCAUCUCAAUGAAAUUGAGGGCAAAGACCAGCAGGCUCAGGCAGUGUCGGCCCUCGGAAUUUAUUAGCAAGGGCACAUUGUGUUCAGGGGCAGGUGUAGCGGUGGGACUGAACUUCCUGGGCUCUUCAAGGGGAACCCCAGUUCUUAUUAAGAAGUUGUGUUGGGAAGCAGGGGCUGGGAAAAUGGCUCGGUCGGUAAAGUGAUUGCUGCAUAAUUAUGGGGACAUGGGUUCAAUCCCUACCACUCACAUGGAAAUCUGGGCAUGGGGCUGUUAAGACGAUGCAUCCCCAGGACUUCCGGGUCAGCCAAUACCUGCAUCAUCUCCUCUAGUCAUGCACACACCUCAGCCUGCUGACAGUGAUGGGAACCAAAGGGAGUCAGGUUUCCUUCUUCGUUGUUUAUGUGUGUGUGAGUGUGUGCGUGCAUGUGUGAGAGUGUGAGUGUGUGUUCACACACCCACAUGAGUAGACCUGCAUUCGGUAGCCCAAGGUUGAUGUCAGGUGUCUUCCUUUAUUGAUCUCUACUGUAUACAAGACACAGUGUUUCACUGGAUCCAGAGGGCACUAUGUCAUGUUCUGGGGAUCCCUGCCUUUGCCUUCUCUUUCCCUGAGUCCUAGAGCCUGGAAUUCCCACACUCCGGCUUCCGCGGAUGUGCUUCACCUGUGGAGCAUCUCUCUGGCCUGCGUUCUAACUCUUAGCCGGUGCCUUUCUGUCGAGUUUCCUUACUGGACCAUUGCCAACAGAAUCUCUGUGACUAUGCCUCAGGAAAAAAUACCCUGUAAUUCACACAAUGCCUCUCUGCACGGGUGCAGGAUUCCCAUAUAACAAAAUUCUUUCUGAGCUUGACAAAUAUAUCCAAUCCUUGAAAACGGAGAAUAAUUUAACAACAGGUGCUUUGGCCAAAGAUGUUCACAAAGCACAUACAAUCAUAUAUCUGACUGAGCAGAGGCCAGGGAGGACCAAUGGCAUGCCACUUUUUAAAUUUUAUUUUAGUUUUGAGAUGGUCUUGCUAUGUGGCCCUGGCUAUCCUGGAAGUCACUGUGUAGAUCAGGUUGGCCCUGAAAUCAUCUGCCUCUGACUCCUGAGUGUUGGGAUUAAAGGUGUUUACUACUAGAUCUGGCUUAAAAGUUCUUAUUAAAGAGGAGACCAUGGUUUCUAUGAAAAUAACUUGUUCUGUGAAUGGAGGUUGGAGCCUCACACCAAUUUUAUAUCACAGAUAUGAAAUUAUCCCUGACUGCAAUGCUUAUUUUCAAAUUUAUCUAGAACCUACUUAGUGCGGGGCUCAACAGUGGGUGCCAGCAGUCGGGUGCUAGAACUGGUGAUGAGCACACACCCCUCCCCUCCUCUCCCCUCUUCAGUAAUUCAGUCCUUCAUUCGGUCACUCACUACAGAUUUCUAAGACUGCUUACCGACUUGUUUCUCUACAGAGCUCUUUUUAAAUGGCCUUUAAAAAUUCAUCUCUCUCUGUUUUAUAUGUGUGAGUAACAUGUCUGCAUGGAUGUAUGUGAGGCACGUUCCAGGAGCCUGUGCAGCCAGAGAAAGACAUCAGAUCCUCUCAGGACUAGAGCACCAGAUGGUGGUGAGCUGCUGUGGAGGUGCUGGAACCAAACCUGGGUCCUCUGCUAGAGCAGCAAGUGCUCUUUACCGUUGGUUAAGCCAGCUCUCCAGCCCCUCCUACAGAUUUCUUGAUGUGUAUUAGGAAGAAAAUCAUGGAUACAGUUCUGGAGGGAAAUGGCUGAUCUCCAUGUCACCUCAUUCAGCCUCACAUAGGACAUAAGGUUUAAGACAGAAGGGUGUACUUCCAAAGCCUUCCUCGAACCCUGGACUUCCUGUUCAUUUAACUAUGUGCUUCUCUGCAUUCAGCUUAGGGACUUCCACUCACACGCCUAUCCCAGCUCUUCCCCGAUCUCAUAGCAUUGCACAGAAAAUGGAACACCUAUUAAGUAUCUCAUACAGAACCCGUGGAAGAAUGCCUGGCGUUUCUAAGUACCAGACUGCACCCCAUGCUAAAUAUACUUCAAAACACGCAUGCACACAUACAGAGUUCUCUGUGUUUAUGAUGUAUGUAUAUCUGAAUGGCAUGCCUGGUACAAGAGACACAUUCACUCAUGUGCAUUUCUUAACUGUUUUUACAACGACCAUGCUGACAUCAGACAGAGGCUAAGUUAGUGAUGUGCCCAACACUCAAGCACGAUGACUGGUGACCCAUGUCUGGACACUUAACAGUUACAUGAAAAGUUAGGAUGAUGACAUUUGUCUGUAACCCAAGCACUGGGAGAGUGGAGUUCACUGGUCAGCCAGCAGAGCUCCCCUGAUAAGCUCUAGGUUCAGUGAGAGACCCUAGAUCGACAAAUGCCUCCACACGUGCCCAUGCACAUACACGUUCACUGGUGGGCACACAUGUGAAUACGCUCACAAGGAGACACAUACAUCCCAUACACACAUACACACGGGGUGGGGGUGGGGGCAGCAGAGGUAGAGAGACAGAGACAAGCAGCAAGUGCAGAACUGAACACUUUUUACAACAAUUUGAUGAUGUCCCUUAGUACAGAUUUCUUAAUAGGUGUUACGAACAGAGGCUAGGACUGAAAGGUGGGGGAAACAGCAGGUGUCUGGCAUCAAGUAAUUUGUGUGCCAGACUCUCUCACAUACCCUCCGUCUGCAUUAUUACAUCUAAUCCUGUGCCAGGCAGCUUCUCUAUCUGGUCUAUUUUGCUGUUUCGAGGUGGACUGCAAGUUAAGACAUUUGCCCCAAGUCACAAAAAUAUAAGGUAUCUUAGAUCAGAAGAGUCUGGCAUAGGACACCUGCAUAGAGCAAGGGUUAGACACAGUCCAUAAGGUCAACACGGCUUUAGUUUCUGUUGGCUUUUGUUUUUAAUUUUAAAGUGGAAAUGAGAGGGACAGUGUAUGAUUGGGUAAAGUCUGAAGAAGCCUGGACCUGUCCGACAUGGUAGUGCAUGCCUUUACUCUCAGUAUGGGGGAAGCAAAGGCAAGUAGACCUCUGUGAGCUUGAGGUCAGCCUGGUCUCCAUAAGGAAUUUCGGGCCAGCCACAGCUACAUCCUAAGGCUCCGGGUCAAACUGACUAACUUACUGACUGACUAACUAAUUCUGUACCCUGAAACUCAUUACUACCUUUAUAAUUCUGGGGGUAACUUUAUACAUAAGGAAAAAAGCAAGGUCUUCACGGUGAGUGGUAAAAAUUCAAAAGCCUGAACGCAAGGACAAGCUGCUUUACUGACUCUAACAGUGUCCAAAUGCUAAGAGAAUCAGUGCAGAGCACUGACUGGAAGGAAAUGGGCAAGUGUUUUACCACCCGAGUACGAGAAAGGAUCACAAGCAGAGAAAUCUACACAGGAAAGAAGUCGGUUCCUGCAUACAACCAGGUCCAGACUUACAGUUUUCUAAUUUGUGUUUUGCUUCAAAAUGGGGGUAGGGUAAGGUGGGGCUUAAAAGGGUCUUAUUAUGUAGGCCUGACUGGCCUGGAACUCAGUAGGUCAAACAGACUUGCUACUCCAAAACACAAAAAAUAAUCCUCCUGCCUCUGCCUCCUCCCAAGUAUUGAGGUUAUAGCUAAGUACCAGCAUGCCCAACCUAUUUCUUACAUUUUAUUUUACAGAAUAUCCAUUAGAGAGCCUGGCACUUAAUGGUUCAUACUGGGAAAUGUCACGCCAUGACUCUCUCCACCAUCAGUCCGUCUGCGGACAGCAGCAAUGGACAGGGUGAAGGAACAUCGACUGCUGUGCGGUGCUGUUAUACUGGGUGUUCCUGGGACAGCUUCAGCCAACACAAAGACAUCCACUCAGAUUGUUUCCUCCAGUGACGGCCACUUGCCUCCUCUUUCCCUUAGGGACUGUGUUUUGUGACAGCAUCAAGUGAAGAGACAGCAGGAAGGAGCAGGGAAUGUGGAGGCUGCCUGAGAAAGAGAGGCUCAAGGUUAAGCAAGGGCCUCUAGAGGACUGUGGGGCCUGGCAGGAGUCUCUGGACUUCUGGGGGUGGUGCUUCCCUGCAUCUAGAUAUGGAAAGAUUUGCAGCAGACUUUUGAUCUUGUAACCAUGAUCUCAUUAAAAGUAAACUAGGAAACCUA